UGUUGGUGGGGUAACGGCUCACCAAGGCGACGAUCCCUAGCUGGUCUGAGAGGAUGACCAGCCACACUGGAACUGAGACACGGUCCAGACUCCUACGGGAGGCAGCAGUGGGGAAUAUUGCACAAUGGGCGCAAGCCUGAUGCAGCCAUGCCGCGUGUAUGAAGAAGGCCUUCGGGUUGUAAAGUACUUUCAGCGGGGAGGAAGGGAGUAAAGUUAAUACCUUUGCUCAUUGACGUUACCCGCAGAAGAAGCACCGGCUAACUCCGUGCCAGCAGCCGCGGUAAUACGGAGGGUGCAAGCGUUAAUCGGAAUUACUGGGCGUAAAGCGCACGCAGGCGGUUUGUUAAGUCAGAUGUGAAAUCCCCGGGCUCAACCUGGGAACUGCAUCUGAUACUGGCAAGCUUGAGUCUCGUAGAGGGGGGUAGAAUUCCAGGUGUGGCGGUGAAAUGCGUAGAGAUCUGGAGGAAUACCGGUGGCGAAGGCGGCCCCCUGGACGAAGACUGACGCUCAGGUGCGAAAGCGUGGGGAGCAAACAGGAUUAGAUACCCUGGUAGUCCACGCCGUAAACGAUGUCGACUUGGAGGUUGUGCCCUUGAGGCGUGGCUUCCGGAGCUAACGCGUUAAGUCGACCGCCUGGGGAGUACGGCCGCAAGGUUAAAACUCAAAUGAAUUGACGGGGACCCGCACAAGCGGUGGAGCAUGUGGUUUAAUUCGAUGCAACGCGAAGAACCUUACCUGGUCUUGACAUCCACGGAAGUUUUCAGAGAUGAGAAUGUGCCUUCGGGAACCGUGAGACAGGUGCUGCAUGGCUGUCGUCAGCUCGUGUUGUGAAAUGUUGGGUUAAGUCCCGCAACGAGCGCAACCCUUAUCCUUUGUUGCCAGCGGUCCGGCCGGGAACUCAAAGGAGACUGCCAGUGAUAAACUGGAGGAAGGUGGGGAUGACGUCAA
rnacentral:rRNA from 1 species